UUACGAGCGGCUCACCUUAAAUGUAUUAGCUGGAUCUGUCUUUGAGACUUGGUUUGACUUGGCGUAAUAAGUAUUUCGCUAAGGACAUUCUUCGGAGUGGCCUCGUUUCUAGGACGCUUGUCCGCUUUCCAAUACAAGUUCCACCUCGUGGACAUGACUUUUUUAUUAUCUGGCCUCAAAUCAGGUAGGACUACCCGCUGAACUUAAGCAUAUCAAUAAGCGGAGGAAAAGAAACUAACAAGGAUUCCCCUAGUAACGGCGAGUGAAGCGGGAAAAGCUCAAAUUUGAAAUCUGGUAGCCUCAGGUUGCCCGAGUUGUAAUCUAUAGAAACGUUUUCCGCGUCGGCCCAUGUACAAGUCUCCUGGAAUGGAGCGUCAUAGAGGGUGAGAAUCCCGUCCUUGACAUGGACUACCGAUGCUUUGUGAUACGUUUUCAAAGAGUCGAGUUGUUUGGGAAUGCAGCUCAAAAUGGGUGGUAAAUUCCAUCUAAAGCUAAAUAUUGGCGAGAGACCGAUAGCGAACAAGUACCGUGAGGGAAAGAUGAAAAGCACUUUGGAAAGAGAGUUAAACAGUAUGUGAAAUUGUUGAAAGGGAAACGAUUGAAGUCAGUCAUGUCUAUUGGACUCAGCCGGUUCUGCCGGUGUACUUCCUUUAGAUGGGGUCAACAUCAGUUUUGACCGCUGGAAAAGGGCAGGAGGAAUGUAGCACUCUCGGGUGAACUUAUAGCCUUCUGUCGUAUACAGUGGUUGGGACUGAGGAACGCAGCAUGCCUUUAUGGCCGGGGUUCGCCCACGUACAUGCUAG
rnacentral:rRNA from 1 species